rnacentral:snRNA from 1 species
UCUCUGGCUCCAGUGAAACU